CCGGCUCGUCCAGCUUACACCCAGAUCCGCCGCUCUAUUCUACCGUGGGGAGAGCCGCAAGGGAAGACACGCAUGCGCCUGUCCUCUGGCUUUUGGAAGGACUUUCAAAUUCUGCGGGCGAACGGGAGGAGGGCGGAGCUCGUACACUGAGUUGACUGUGUGGAACUAGGAAGCAGCAUCCUGAAUUGCAACUCCCCUUCCUGUCUGCGAAAAGAAAAUUCCAGUCAGCUCCUGGUGCCUCAUCAAUGCCCGCCCUAUGCACUCCCAGUCAGAGGUUUUAUAUAUAUAUAUAUAUAUAUAUAUAUCCCAUACCCCCACGUUUUGGUAGAGGUGGCUAGACUGUCUAUGGUCAUGGGCUCCUCUCUGCAUCCUUGGAAUAAAGGCUAUUUUUUACUUUAUGCCCUCUCUUUUAACGUGCCAAAAACUCUUUCAAUUAUAACUUCCAAUCUACUACAUGUCCAAUACACAGAGUUUGUAUUCCCCAAAA